rnacentral:rRNA from 1 species
AAUGAACGCUGGCGGCAGGCCUAACACAUGCAAGUCGAACGGGUCCUUCGGGACUAGUGGCGGACGGGUGAGUAACGCGUGGGAACAUACCCAAAGGUACGGAAUAGCCUCGGGAAACUGAGAGUAAUACCGUAUGUGCCCUUCGGGGGAAAGAUUUAUCGCCUUUGGAUUGGCCCGCGUUGGAUUAGGUAGUUGGUGGGGUAAUGGCCUACCAAGCCGACGAUCCAUAGCUGGUUUGAGAGGAUGAUCAGCCACACUGGGACUGAGACACGGCCCAGACUCCUACGGGAGGCAGCAGUGGGGAAUCUUAGACAAUGGGGGAAACCCUGAUCUAGCCAUGCCGCGUGAUAGAUGGAGGCCUUAGGGUUGUAAAGAUCUUUCAGAUGGGAAGAUAAUGACGGUC